UCUCUCUGUUGCCGGGUCGUCCGUGCCCAGCGCUUCGCUCAGGGUCUGCACAUAAUAAACGCUCCAGAAUACGGAGCCUGCGGGGCUGCGAGCGGGAGGGGACAGGAGCCCAGCCACAGGUUUUCCGAGAAGUCUGAGGGAAAACACCGAGGCAGAAACGCCGUAAAAGAAAAAAAAUAUUCUCAAAAGACAAAAGUUACUAGUGAGGGACUCCGAAGCCAGUCGGAAUCGAGGGAAAAUUUCCUGAGCUAAGCAGGGUUAUCAUUUUUCCUGUAAUUUUCAUGAUGGAAGGAGAGUCGAUGUAAAGAUUUUUUCCACAGAAAAUUCCCUAAACCACGUUUAGGACCAGAAUGUCGAAAAAGAUCGGCCUCCACCCCAGCAGCCGCUCUGAGACCAGCUCUAACUGGGACUUCAGCUCCAGCCUGACUAGCACCGGAAACUCCAGAGAGAAAGAGGAAGUCAGUGAGAUAUCAGACUCCAGUAAA